UCCGUGAUGUCUCGGAGCCGUGAAGUUC
rnacentral:sRNA from 1 species